CCUACGGGAGGCAGCAGUGGGGAAUAUUGCACAAUGGGGGAAACCCUGAUGCAGCAACGCCGCGUGAGUGAAGAAGUAUUUCGGUAUGUAAAGCUCUAUCAGCAGGGAAGAAAAUGACAGUACCUGACUAAGAAGCCCCGGCUAACUACGUGCCAGCAGCCGCGGUAAUACGUAGGGGGCAAGCGUUAUCCGGAUUUACGGGGGGGAAAGGGAGCGUAGACGGCUGUGCAAGUCAGAAGGGAAAGCCCGGGGCUCAACCGCGGGACUGCUUUUGAAACUGUGUAGCUAGAGUGCAGGAGAGGUAAGUGGAAUUCCUAGUGUAGCGGUGAAAUGCGUAGAUAUUAGGAGGAACACCGGUGGCGAAGGCGGCUUACUGGACUGUAACUGACGUUGAGGCUCGAAAGCGUGGGGAGCAAACAGGAUUAGAUACCCGUGUAGUC
rnacentral:rRNA from 1 species